CAUUCAUUUGAAAAAAAAUUUGAGUUUCAAAUUCUCUCCCUCCCCCACCUUUUGAGAAGGCAAGCAAUCUGAAUCAUGCAAAACGUAUUUCUAUAUUAGCCAUUUUACAAAAGAAAACAGAAAAAAAACCAAGAAAAAUACGGUUCAGUCUGCCCUUAGCUUAUCAGUUCUCACUCUUCCUGGGUCCGAUGAAGUUAUCUUGGGGCGUGGUCUUGGUCAGAGCAGCUGAGUCUUGCAUACUUGGUCCUCCUUGCACUACUACCGUCAGUGUACAGUGUUCUCUGUUUCUGUUUGCCUCGCUUUGCAUCAGUUCUUCCAAGUCGUCCCGGGCUUUCCCGAAGCCAUCCUGCUCGUCGUUUCUUACGGCACAACCAUAUUCCAUCACACACACCCCACGACUCGUUCCGCCGUUCCCUGGCUGUCGGGCUUCAGGUGGAGGCUGUGCUACAGAACGAGCAGGCAGAGGUGAAGCUGGCUCCGGAGACGCAUCGGGCAGAGGGUGGUGGCGCCAAGCUUGGUGGAGCCCAGUUAAAUCUGGCACAUCUGUCCCAGGCCUCCUGAUGGUUGGAAGGUAAGGCUCCCACCAUCCUGUUAUGUGGCUUAGAAAGGGAAGCAGCUUGGCCAAAGUCACACAGU
rnacentral:lncRNA from 1 species